UGGGGGCAUUUGAAUACCACUCCUCAUAAGACCGUCUUCCAUAGCACGUUUUGCUAGGACAUGUGCAACCAGAUUUCCUUCUCUGAAAUUCUUCUUGCUGAUGUUGAAGAAGUCGUAUCGCCGUUAAAGAGUCUGAUUCCAAGUAUGGGAAAUGUUGAUUUCUUGGCGGAACUGUUCUCAAUCCCUCCCAAAUUGUUGACAUUUCAAGUAUUCAACUUCAAAGCAUGGUUCAGAGGUGGGUUCCAUCUAAUUGUCUAAAUCAGCAUCCCUUCUACCGACAUCUCAAUCAGACCGAUAAUAGCGCCAACGAUUACUCCCACUACUCCGGCGAUUACUGGUCGUCAUUCAGAAUCAGACCCAUUGCCCCGUGGUUUUGGGUGUGUUGAAAAAUGAUAGCUUAAUUUACACUUGUUUAAUCUAAUCAGCUUAUAUUUGCCAUUAUGGACAGUCACAGAUGAGGUGUAUUCUUCGUCAUUUGCAAUUUUAUAAGUUAAUGCCUUUAAUUGACAUGUGCUAGACAUGUGGGUAGUGAUGCCACUCACCAAAAUUAGUUAUGGCUCAUGUCUAAGCAUGUGGGGAGCUGCAAAAUUUGUUGUGAAGCGUCAAGGAGGUGCGGAGAAAUAGCAAGAUUGAUUUCUGGUUUUACUUCUGUUUUGUUGAGGAUUUCUGGGCGAAA